UUGCUUAGUUGGAAGCAAUUGGUACGGAUUAUGACGCCUCCUUAGCAAUUCUCGAAGUGGACAAGGUGGGCAGUAAAGGCAAAUAAGAGGACACUCUGUAUCCCUUCUCAGAAGCUCUACGAACAAUCUCGUUGUACUUUUUAGAGUAAUAAGCAGCAGUUGGUACAACUGUAUUUGCCACUUGAGCGACAAGUGGUAGCUUAUUGACGGCAAGCCUGGUAGUGACCACGUAUUGCUCUGCAUUUGGUUCAUCCUUGGUGUAUAAAGUUUUUGCACUUUACCUUCAAACCAGUAUUGUAAACUGAAGAAGCCACAGCAAGAGUAGCUCUUGG
rnacentral:misc_RNA from 1 species